rnacentral:RNase_P_RNA from 1 species
GGGAGUAGGAGGAUCGCUGACAGAGUUAGACUCUGAGGAAAGUCCCCUCUCCAUAACGCGUGUGCCUCGCAGAAGUGAGAAAUCAGAGAUGGUUAGGUUAAUGCUACAGAAACGAACGAUACAGGGUGUGUACAGUGAUGUUGAAAAACGGAGAUUGCUUUGUGGUCGAUGAAACGAGCAACCGCACAGGAGCAAGUCCAAGAAUUCCCCUUGAGGUUGCGUGCCUAGGGAAAGGUAGGAUGCUAAGUUGAAUGCGGUCGCCGAAAGGUAACAGAAAGGGGCUUACUCCCUACUCCC